rnacentral:piRNA from 1 species
UCUGAGGGACUAGAGACCAUGGUGUG